rnacentral:rRNA from 1 species
AACGAACGCUGGCGGCAUGCCUAACACAUGCAAGUCGAACGAUGGUCUUCGGAUCAUAGUGGCGCACGGGUGCGUAACGCGUGGGAAUCUGCCCUUGGGUUCGGAAUAACAGUUGGAAACGACUGCUAAUACCGGAUGAUGUCGAUAAGACCAAAGAUUUAUCGCCCGAGGAUGAGCCCGCGUCGGAUUAGCUAGUCGGUGGGGUAAAGGCCUACCAAGGCGACGAUCCGUAGCUGGUCUGAGAGGAUGAUCAGCCACACUGGGACUGAGACACGGCCCAGACUCCUACGGGAGGCAGCAGUGGGGAAUAUUGGACAAUGGGCGCAAGCCUGAUCCAGCAAUGCCGCGUGAGUGAUGAAGGCCUUAGGGUUGUAAAGCUCUUUUACCCGGGAAGAUAAUGACUGUACCGGGAGAAUAAGCCCCGGCUAACUCCGUG